UGGGGAAUAUUGGACAAUGGGGGCAACCCUGAUCCAGCGACGCCGCGUGGGUGAAGAAGGCCUGCGGGUUGUAAAGCCCUUUCGGUUGGGAAGAAAAGUUCUGAUCUAACACAUCGGGACCUUGACGUAACCAACUAAAGAAGCACCGGCUAACUCUGUGCCAGCAGCCGCGGUAAUACAGAGGGUGCGAGCGUUAAUCGGAAUUACUGGGCGUAAAGCGCGCGUAGGCGGCUUUGUAAGUCGGUUGUGAAAUCCCCGGGCUCAACCUGGGAACUGCAUCCGAGACUGCAUGGCUAGAGUAUGGGAGAGGGAAGUGGAAUUUCAGGUGUAGCGGUGAAAUGCGUAGAUAUCUGAAGGAACUUCAGUGGCGAAAGCGACUUCCUGGACCAAUACUGACGCUCAUGUGCGAAAGCGUGGGGAGCAAACAG
rnacentral:rRNA from 1 species